rnacentral:lncRNA from 1 species
AGCUGGGCGGCCUGGAGGAGACCUUCCGCCGCCGGCGGUACCUGGGCGCCGCGGAGCGCGGGCGGCUGGCGGCCGCGCUGCACCUCUCCGAGACCCAGGUGGGCCCGGGGGGACCCGCCCGCGGCCGUGAACGCGCUGGGGGGGGGGUCCAGUGGGGGAGGUGUCACGGGUGCUUUUCCCCCUCGGUUCGGGAUGCGGUGUGUGUGAGCAGCUACCCGGUUUGCGGUAACAGACCUUGCGGAGGCUGCAGCUGGUCCUGAAGGCUGGAAGGGGCUCGCCGAAAAUCGCCGAGCCGGGAAGCAGGGACCCCCCGCCUCCCCACGCGUGCACACACCCUGCGCUGCCCGCGGGGGGACACCGGUGCAGCCCCGUCGGUUCGAACGCAGCGAAACGACCCGGGCAGCGGCGCUGGUCGCAGUCCGCACGUUAUUUUUUAGAACCGGAGGAUGAAGCUGAAGAGGCAGGUCCAGGAGCCCCAGCGCCGCCCGCCGCUCUGCAGCUGCGCCCCGGGGCCGCGCCGGGGGCUCCUGCCGCUGCUGCCCGGCGCCGCGCGGCCCCUCGGCCUCCCCUUCCCGGCGUGCGAGGCACCGCAGGGCACCCACCGCCUCGCGGCCAGCGAGCUGCCCCGUGUCCACCGACACCUCCUGCCGCAUCCGUCUUUCCCCCCGGUCGCGCAGAACCGGAGGGACAAGCAGCACCAUCCCCUGUACGCGUCGUCGUGAAGGCAAGGGCCGGGCGGGGGAGGGAAAUGCUGCAACUUCUUUUGUGCCGCUGCUUCUUUUCUUCCUUUCUGCUCGGAAUCUGAUUCGCAAGUGUAUGUGUUUAUUAUAUUAAAUUAAAUAUGAAGAGUAAUUUUAUAUUUGUACGAAUUGAUAUUAAAAUUUAUCAGAUGUGAUCUGCUCUUAAGUCGUUUUUGGUUUAAUAUCCCACCGUUUCAAAAGUGGUCACUGUGUAAAAAUAUUGGUAGUCUACUUGCUUCCUUUGAUUUCCGGAUAUGGUAAAGAAUAUCUUGCUCCGUAUUGCUAUCUAGGCACUUUUGAAAUGUCUGAAAUUACGCUGUAGCCUCAGUGAGAGCCAUGAGGUACUACUUAUGGCUUCUGUGCCCCAGCCUGUUG